GGCAAUUUAAGUGUCCCAGCCGUCACUCUCCUCGGGGGCAUUUGGCUGCAACGUUGGGAUAGAGAGCUUUGAUGGAAACUAUGGCCUUGCAAUUGGAUUUUGGAUGAAUAUUAGAAGUAUUGAUUUGUAUUGGGUAUCCUUUUAUUUCUUCUUUUUCAUUCCAGCUGCACGGAUUUAUAUUUUUGAUUUAGGAAGCUCACAGCUCGUUGAGCAACUUCACUGAAGCAUACAACUGCAACUUCUUUUAUUUAUUUAUUUUUUUUUGCCUAGUGUUUGUUUUAUUUAAGCUGGAGGUGGCUGUUUUAUUUAAGCAAGCGGUGCUUAUUACUUUGGAAGGCACACACGAAUUAUUCCUUUUCUUUCUUUGGAUGUUGUGACGUGCUGCAGUAGAAUAAGCAACAUUUUAACAUUCCUUUAUUUUAUUUUUAUUGAAUGAAAAAAAAAGAAAGAAUAGGAGAGAGUCCAGUGGUCACGGUGGUGAUGUGUUGAGAGAAGAAGCUCAUUUCAUUUAUGCUUAGGUGUGAAAUUUUCUUGAAGUGUGUUACGGGUUGCUGCAGGGAAGCACUUUACUUGCUUUAUUUUAAUUAAUUUGAAGUACUUUCAUUUCUUGCAUCAUCUCAUGGCUAGUGACAAAAGAUGGAGAAGCAUUUUAGUUCCUUUACUUUUUAAGUGUCUUUUAUUUGUAUUGUUACCAUGAUGAAUUGUUUUUAAUGUUUA
rnacentral:lncRNA from 1 species